rnacentral:rRNA from 1 species
UGGGGAAUUGUUCGCAAUGGGCGCAAGCCUGACGACGCAACGCCGCGUGGAGGACGAAGAUCUUCGGGUCGUAAACUCCUUUCGAUCGGGAAGAACAGUCUCCGGGUGAACAAUCCGGAGAUGUGACGGUACCGAGAGAAGAAGCCCCGGCUAACUCCGUGCCAGCAGCCGCGGUAAUACGGGGGGGGCAAGCGUUGUUCGGAAUUACUGGGCGUAAAGGGCUCGUAGGCGGCCAACUAAGUCGGAUGUGAAAUCCCCAGGCUUAACCUGGGAACUGCAUCCGAUACUGGAUGGCUUGAAUCCGGGAGAGGGAUGCGGAAUUCCAGGUGUAGCGGUGAAAUGCGUAGAUAUCUGGAGGAACACCGGUGGCGAAGGCGGCAUCCUGGACCGGCAUUGACGCUGAGUGAGCGAAAGCCAGGGGAGCAAACGG